rnacentral:rRNA from 1 species
CCUACGGGGGGCAGCAGUGGGGAAUAUUGGGCAAUGGAGGAAACUCUGACCCAGCAACGCCGCGUGAAUGAUGAAGGUCUUCGGAUUGUAAAGUUCUUUUCUAAGGGAAGAAGAAAGUGACGGUACCUUAGGAAUAAGCCUCGGCUAACUACGUGCCAGCAGCCGCGGUAAUACGUAGGAGGCGAGCGUUAUCCGGAAUGACUGGGCGUAAAGGGUGCGUAGGUGGUUUGGCAAGUUAGUAGCGUAACUCCAAGGCUCAAACUUGGAACUACGACUAAUACUGGUGGACUUGAGUGCAGGAGGGGGAACCGGAAUUCCCAGUGUAGCGGGGGAAUGCGUAGAUAUUAGGAGGAACACCAGUGGCGAAGGCGGGUUGCUGGACUGUAACUGACCCUGAGGCACGAAAGCGUGGGGAGCAAACAGGAUUAGAUACCCCUGUAGUC